GAUGAACGCUAGCUACAGGCUUAACACAUGCAAGUCGAGGGGCAGCAUUUUUAUAGCAAUAUAAAAGAUGGCGACCGGCGCACGGGUGAGUAACACGUAUCCAACCUGCCGAUAACUCGGGGAUAACCCUUCGAAAGAAGGCCUAAUACCCGAUGGCAUAUCCCUUCCGCCUGGUGGGGAUAUUAAAGAACUUCGGUUAUCGAUGGGGAUGCGUUCCAUUAGCUUGUUGGCGGGGUAACGGCCCACCAAGGCAUCGAUGGAUAGGGGUUCUGAGAGGAAGGUCCCCCACAUUGGAACUGAGACACGGUCCAAACUCCUACGGGAGGCAGCAGUGAGGAAUAUUGGUCAAUGGACGAGAGUCUGAACCAGCCAAGUAGCGUGAAGGAUGAAGGUCCUAUGGAUUGUAAACUUCUUUUAUACGGGAAUAAAGUGCAGUAUGCAUACUGUUUUGUAUGUACCGUAUGAAUAAGGAUCGGCUAACUCCGUGCCAGCAGCCGCGGUAAUACGGAGGAUCCGAGCGUUAUCCGGAUUUAUUGGGUUUAAAGGGAGCGUANGCGGAUGCUUAAGUCAGUUGUGAAAGUUUGCGGCUCAACCGUAAAAUUGCAGUUGAUACUGGGCGUCUUGAGUACAGUAGAGGCAGGCGGA
rnacentral:rRNA from 1 species